rfam:Zea mays cultivar B73 chromosome 4, whole genome shotgun sequence.
UCUCCUCAAGAUGAUGGGGUGAUCACCUACCUUUUGGCUAGUCUUAGUCCAUAUUAUGACUUGUUUGCCACCUCAAUGAUCACCAAAAGUGAGGCACCCACUCUCGAUGAUGUUUAUGCUCAUCUACUGUCCUAUGAGGC